CUUUCUCUCAACUCUCUCACAACACACCCUCACCAUUUCUGCAAACACCCAACCUUUAGGCCCGAGAGCCUUCGCUAUAACCAUUUCCAUUUCCCCAACAAAUCGAACCUCAAAUUCACAUAUCUGAGAUCUCAUCGAGUCGCCGAUGGAACUUUGCCAUUCCCACCUGAGAGCCUUGAGUCCUAAAUCGAAACUAGAUCUUUUCGGCGAACCCGACGGCUUGCGAGUCAAUUUCCUGCCAGUUUUGAUCGGCCAACCCUCAAAAUGCUAAUUUCUUGUUCCCCUCUACUUUAGCUUUAUUGUGGUUCAAAAAUCACCUGAAAUGGUGAAGAUUUGACCCCAGAUCGCAGCCCCAGGGAAUUUCCGGGCGAAAACCCUUGAUUUUCUGAUUUUCUUCUUCGUGGGGUCGAGCGACCUGCGAGUGCAAUCGGGUCGACCCAACCCACAUCCAUAAUCCAGGCCCAUAACCAAAUUUGUUUUCAGCCCAAUCCAUCAACCCAAUUAACCUGGUCCAUUUCUUCAAGCCCAAAACCUUUAACCGAUAAACGAGGCCCAAGUCUCUUGACCCACUAACUCCGGCCCAAUCCCUCAAUCCAUUAGCCCAAGCCCAAAGACUCUCGGCCCAACCCAGCCAAACCAGUCCAACCCAUCCGACCCAACCUGUUGACUUUGACGCUUUGACUCGAUACAUUGACUUUGACCCGUUGACCAUUGACUUUCUAGUAAACGUUGAUCGUUGACUAGUCAACGUUGACUUUUGGGUUGACUUUUUUGGGUUUCGAUCGGGACAUCUCUUAGACUAAUUUCAACGUCCUAAUUCCAAAUCUACACUUCAUUUUCACAAAUUCAAUCGCUUUGGUCGCAUUUUAUUAAAUAGUCUCUAUUUGUGUAUAGGUGCAAUGGUAGAAGAUGAUCCAGUCCUCCCUAGUUCGAGCGGCUCCCCGAGAGCGGAGUAUUUGUGGGUGGACCCCUUCUUAAAUGAAUAUUUUAUAACUAUCAGUCUAGCAUGCAUUCCUAUUUCA